rnacentral:lncRNA from 1 species
AUGUUAAAAAUUUUACUAGAGGAAAAAAAAAAAGCCGAUUGUGCUAAACUAUAUACAGCAGAAAUGAGAAUAAACGAUUUAGUAACACAGGAGAUGAAUGAAAAAGAAAACUAUACCAAUAAACAAAAUGUAACAGUACCAACAAAAGAAACGAGUAAUAAAAAAAAAGAAAAAGACAAAAAGAAGGAUAAAAAAAAAGAUAAAAAGGGUGAGGAAAGGAAAGAGAGUAAAAAAAAAAACGAAAAAAACGAAAAAAACGAAAAAAACGAAAAAAACGGAAAAAACGGAAAAAACGAAAAAAACGAAAAAAACGGAAAAAACGAAAAAAACGAAAAAAACGAAAAAAACGAGAAAAACGAAAAAAACGAGAAAAACGAAAAAAACGAGAAAAACGAAAAAAACGAGACAAAUAACAUGAGCGGACCAAAUGACAUAAGUGCAACAAGUGAAAAUCCAAACCUGUUAAACUACUUUUUUGUGAAAUUAUUUGAUAUAUUGAAUGUACAUACAUAUAUUAUAGACGACAUAAAAUUAAUAAAAAUAAUAAAAAAAAUGGAGUUAACAAAAAAUAUACAUAUAAAAAUUGGUCAUAAUUUAAAUAAAAUAAUUUAUUUUAUUUUUUUUAUUUUUAAUUUUAUAUCUUUAGAACAUGUAAAUUUAUUUUUCACAAAAGUAAAAAAUUAUACAAUAUUAAAUGACUUUUGUCUAUUUGUAAAUUAUAUAAAAUAUAAUUAUUCUUAUUUUUUAUUUUUAUUUCAUUUUAUAUUGACAUAUUUUGACAUAAAAAAUAAUAUGAAUAAACUUUAUUGCGAUAUUAGUAUACCUUUGAAGGCAGGAUUCGAUUUUUUACAACUUUCAUCAAAAAAUGAUAAAACUAGUAAUAGUUUAACUAUAACUAAUAUAAACGGUAGUAAUAUAAACGAUUGUAAUGUAAGCUGUAGUAAUAUAAACUGUAGUAAUAUAAACUGUAGUAAUAUAAACUGUAGUAAUAUAAGUUUUGGUAAUAUAAAAACAGAAUAUAUUCAACUGCUUAAAAACAGAAUAAUUGUUAAUAAUAAAUAUAUUUGUAUUAUAUCUCCACAAAUAAAAAAUAAUAUAUUAAAUAUAAAAAAUAUAAAAAAUAUACUAGAAUGGAUUAAAUUAUUAAAAAUAAUUGUUUUUUUAAAUGUUUCUGAUCUGUUUAUUUGUGGACAACUCUUUUUAUUAUUUUUGUUUUUUAUUUAUAAUAAAUCUAUAUUGAAAGGAAGAGUAUGUAAAAAUAAAAAAAAAUAA